UGGAAGGAUUUGUUAGACUCAACGGAAGCAAAUCUUCAAGCAGCUAGCUCCAUAGACAAGCCCUCACUGCAGUCUUCCCCCACUUUCACUCGUUUCCCUCCUCCCUUCCUUUCUAGUCCUUUCUCUCUUUCCUUUUCUUCUUCCUUCUCUCCUUCCCUUUUUUCCUUCCUCCUUCCUUCCUUCAUAAAUCCUGUACCACACUUGCUCUCUGUUUUUCCUCUUUCUCUCUGAUUUUCGCAGGAGGGAGGUGACUAGUGGGACCAUUGCUUUCCUAGUGAGUAUCUACGACUCUGCUAGGCACCAGGCUCAGAGACUGUGCUCCUUGGGGCUUGCCACUCCCUUCCUGGUGUGUUUUCCCUGCUCUUCCGGCUCUGAAAUUAUGGUUCGGACUAGAAUGAAGGAACUUGAAAAUUCGUGCAUGGAAAAUGCCGCCCCCGCCCGCGGCUUGGGCCUGGAGAUCAACGACUAGUCAGGUCCCAGCGCCGGGUGGACACUCACAGGCUGCGGGACAGCUCUGAGCCUCGGUGUCUUCACGCUCCGAGUAGAGGCAAUUGGAGGAGCUGUGGCCUAAGGUUGUGUGACACAGAGGCAGGCCAACCCAGGCAUCCAGACUGUGAGCUGCGGGGCCGUGUGGCAGGGCACAGAGCUUCGAGGGACCCUCUGGCCAUUGCGGGGUCACGCUCCAGCCUCGUGCACUGGAGUUGCCCCCUGUCCGCCUAAUCCUAAUCCCUUUCUAAUCGCCCCGUGGUGGUGAGAAGAUAUCGAGUGUCAGCAGCCUGGUCCGAGCAGAGGCAAACCUCCCGUCCUUGGGUGUGGUCGACUGCAAGAUCUAGAGACAGAUCCUCUGCAGAUCACUGAGGAGGCCAGAAGCUCUUCUACCACAUCUUCUUUCUUAGGCUCUCUUCUGUCCGUUGAGGAACUUGGCCUUGGGGAAGGGCCCAGCAUGCCAGGCGUGUCGACCACAAGUGGAAAGAAGAGUAACGUCCUUUCAUCUUACCUAUCUCUGAAUCUGACGCACCACUGGGACUCCAGAGCUGGCUGAGCGAUCGGUGCCUUCAGGAGUAAGGAGUGUUUAAAAAGAGAGAGGGAAAUAUGGCGACUCGGCCUAGAGGCCAAAGAUGAACAGGACCUGUGUUCACCAGGAGGAAAUUCAGAGUGAAAAAAAGAUUUGCUUCUACUCUCUUCCCACAGGGGCAGCAAACCCCAAGGAAACUUCAUCCCCCCCGCCGCCUUUAAUAGAUGCUAACAUUUAUCUUGUUGGCAGAGGUUUAUCUUCCCCUGGAUCUCAUGGAGACCUUGGAAAAUAUAGGGAUAAUAUAACAAAGGACACGGCCCUCAAAAGGUAAGUGCCUGCUUUUUAAUGAGAACUGCUGUCAAGUAAAAUGGUUUAAAGAGAAUGGCUUAAAAAGACUCAAAAAAAAAAAAAAAAAA